rnacentral:rRNA from 1 species
UAAGCAUAUCAAUAAGCGGAGGAAAAGAAACCAACAGGGAUUGCUCUAGUAACGGCGAGUGAAGCAGCAAUAGCUCAAAUUUGAAAUCUGGCGUCUUCGACGUCCGAGUUGUAAUUUGUAGAGGAUGCUUCUGAGUAACCACCGACCUAAGUUCCUUGGAACAGGACGUCAUAGAGGGUGAGAAUCCCGUAUGCGGUCGGAAAGGUGCUCUACACGUAGCUCCUUCGACGAGUCGAGUUGUUUGGGAAUGCAGCUCUAAAUGGGAGGUAAAUUUCUUCUAAAGCUAAAUAUUGGCCAGAGACCGAUAGCGCACAAGUAGAGUGAUCGAAAGAUGAAAAGCACUUUGGAAAGAGAGUUAAAAAGCACGUGAAAUUGUUAAAAGGGAAGGGAUUGCAACCAGACUUGCUCGCGGUGUUCCGCCGGUCUUCUGACCGGUCUACUCGCCGCGUUGCAGGCCAGCAUCGUCUGGUGCCGCUGGAUAAGACUUGAGGAAUGUAGCUCCCUCGGGAGUGUUAUAGCCUCUUGUGAUGCAGCGAGCGCCGGGCGAGGUCCGCGCUUCGGCUAGGAUGCUGGCGUAAUGGUCGUAAUCCGCCCGUCUUGAAACACGGACCAAGGAGUCUAACAUCUAUGCGAGUGUUCGGGUGUCAAACCCCUACGCGUAAUGAAAGUGAACGGAGGUGAGAACCGCAAGGUGCAUCAUCGACCGAUCCUGAUGUCUUCGGAUGGAUUUGAGUAAGAGCAUAGCUGUUGGGACCCGAAAGAUGGUGAACUAUGCCUGAAUAGGGUGAAGCCAGAGGAAACUCUGGUGGAGGCUCGCAGCGGUUCUGACGUGCAAAUCGAUCGUCAAAUUUGGGUAUAGGGGCGAAAGACUAAUCGAACC